rnacentral:rRNA from 1 species
AGCGGGAAGAGCCCAGCACCAAAUCUCCCGUCCGUUUCAGCGGUGAUAAAUGCGUUGUAUAGGCGGCCGAUUGUCGCCGGCGUCGAGCGCUCAAGUCCUCCUGAUUGUGACUACCCAGAGCGGGUCUCAGGCCCUUGCAGCGCCAGACCCGGCGGCUUCGAGCUCCUCGGAGUCGGGUUGUUUGAGGAUGCAGCCCAAAGCGGGUGGUAAACUCCCCCUAAGGCUGAACACUAGCACCGAUAGCGGUCAAGUACCGUAAGGAAAAGCUGAAAAGAACUGAUGAGAGAGUUCAACAGUACGUGAAACCGCAUAGAGUCAAACGGGUGGAUCCGCAGAGUGGACGCGAUGAAUUCAGCCCGGCCUAUGGUGGCCCGUCGGUGUGCCGGGGAUGCCUUAGCGGGUCCUCGCCCCGGCGUACGGCUCGCCGCUCUGGCCGGGUGCACUUUCUCAGCUGUCGAGCGCAACGAUCGAUUCUGCGGCGGUGAGGAGCCCGGCGCGCAAGGUAGCGCAGCCCUUCGAGGACAAGUGUUAUAGAUUGCCGUAGUGGACUCGCCGCGUGAUCGAGGACGCUUGUCGCGUCAGCCGGCUUCGGACAGUUAUGGGGUUCUCGACUUCGGACGCGCUGCUCCGCAUGGCGCUGAGACCGCACUCCGGACACGGGACCGUCCGCCGUGGACGCCUAUGUGUCAGUGGCGAAUCGGUCGUCCUCCGUCUUGAAACACGGACCAAUGAGUCUAACAUGUGCGCGAGUCAUGGGGUCAGUACGAAACAUAAAGGCGCAAUGAAAAAGAAGGAAUCCCCAGGAGUGGCCAGGCAGGAUCCCUCGGCCUCGGUCGGGGACGCACUGCCUGCCCGUCUCGGCUGCGUCGUACGCGAGGUGGAGCAAGAGCGCACACGUUGGGACCCGAAAGAUGGUGAACUAUGUCUGAGUAGGGCGAAUUCAGAGGAAACUCUGAUGGAGGCCCGCAGCGAUUCUGUCGUUCAUUCUGAUCGUCAAACUUGGAUAUAGGGGCGAAAGACUAAUCGAACCAUCUAGUAGCUGG